AAUAUUUUUUUCUAUUUACGCAUGAAUUUUGGCCCCUUUUUUUAAAAUUCGAAAAAUCAGUUUUUAAUGGUUGUUUUGCUGUUUUAAUCAUGCCAUUUGAUGUAUUAAUCAUAGUAGAACAUGUUAAUGUGCAUUUUACAGAUUUGGGGUGCCAUUUUAUAUUUUUUUAAUAUUUUUUCUAUUUACGCAUUUAUUUUGGCCCUUUUUUGAAAAUUCGAACAACCAUUUUUUAAUUAUUCUUUUUCUGUUUUAAUGAUGUCAUAUGAUGUGUUAAUCAUAGUAGAACAUGUUAAUGUGCAUUUUACAGAUUUGGGGUUCCAUUUUAUAUAUUUUUUAUAUUUUUUUCUAUUUACGCAUUUAUUUUGGCCCUUUUUUUGAAAAUUCGAAAAAUCAUUUUUUAAUGAUUCUUUUGCUGUUUUAAUGAUGCCAUAUGAUGUGUUAGUCAUAUUAGAACAGUUUAAUAUGCAUUUUACAGAUUUGGAAAAUUAAAUGUAUGAAUUUUGUAGUCAAAUUCAGGUUAUCUGGUUCAUAAAUUCAU